rnacentral:rRNA from 2 species
AGACCCGAAACCCGGUGAUCUAGCCAUGGGCAGGUUGAAGGUUGGGUAACACUAACUGGAGGACCGAACCGACUAAUGUUGAAAAAUUAGCGGAUGACUUGUGGCUGGGGGUGAAAGGCCAAUCAAACCGGGAGAUAGCUGGUUCUCCCCGAAAGCUAUUUAGGUAGCGCCUCGUGAAUUCAUCUCCGGGGGUAGAGCACUGUUUCGGCAAGGGGGUCAUCCCGACUUACCAACCCGAUGCAAACUGCGAAUACCGGAGAAUGUUAUCACGGGAGACACACGGCGGGUGCUAACGUCCGUCGUGAAGAGGGAAACAACCCAGACCGCCAGCUAAGGUCCCAAAGUCAUGGUUAAGUGGGAAACGAUGUGGGAAGGCCCAGACAGCCAGGAUGUUGGCUUAGAAGCAGCCAUCAUUUAAAGAAAGCGUAAUAGCUCACUGGUCGAGUCGGCCUGCGCGGAAGAUGUA